rnacentral:rRNA from 1 species
GAUGAACGCUGGCGGCGUGCCUAACACAUGCAAGUCGAGCGAGGGUUUGCUCAGUAUUGAGUAUUCUAAAACUAGAAUGUUCAAUUCUGAGCAAAACCAAGCGGCGGACGGGUGAGUAACGCGUGGGUAACCUGCCCUAUACACAUGGAUAACAUACUGAAAAGUUUACUAAUACAUGAUAAUAUAUAUUUGCGGCAUCGCAGAUAUAUCAAAGUGUUAGCGGUAUAGGAUGGACCCGCGUCUGAUUAGCUAGUUGGUGAGAUAACUGCCCACCAAGGCGACGAUCAGUAGCCGACCUGAGAGUGUGAUCGGCCACAUUGGAACUGAGACACGGUCCAAACUCCUACGGGAGGCAGCAGUGGGGAAUAUUGCACAAUGGGCGAAAGCCUGAUGCAGCAACGCCGCGUGAACGAUGAAGGUCUUCGGAUCGUAAAGUUCUGUUGCAGGGGAAGAUAAUGACGGUACCCUGUGAG